rnacentral:rRNA from 1 species
GACGAACGCUGGCGGCGUGCCUAAUACAUGCAAGUAGAACGCACAGUUUAUACCGUAGCUUGCUACACCAUAGACUGUGAGUUGCGAACGGGUGAGUAACGCGUAGGUAACCUGCCUGGUAGCGGGGGAUAACUAUUGGAAACGAUAGCUAAUACCGCAUAAUAUUAAUUAUUGCAUGAUAAUUAAUUGAAAGGUGCAAUUGCACCACUACCAGAUGGACCUGCGUUGUAUUAGCUAGUAGGUGAGGUAACGGCUCACCUGGGCGACGAUACAUAGCCGACCGGGGAGGGUGAUCGGCCACACUGGGACUGGGACACGGCCCAGACGCCUACGGGAGGCAGCAGUAGGGAAUCUUCGGCAAUGGACGAAAGGCUGACCGAGCAACGCCGCGGGAGUGAAGAAGGGUUUCGGAUCGUAAAGCUCUGUUGUAAGAGAAGAACGGGUGUGAGAGUGGAAAGUUCACACUGUGACGGUAUCUUACCAGAAAGGGACGGCUAACUACGUG